GGGGAAGGAGGAGGAGGAGGAGGAGGAAGAGGAAGAAGAGGAAGAGGAAGAGGAGGAGAAAGAAGAAGAGGGGCAGAAAGUGCCCUGUGGCAUAACCGUGCCACAUACAGAAAACAGGGUUUUAUUCCUCAGCUCUCUUUUUGAUGGGAGCUUCAUGCUCUCAUCACUUGUGGCAGAGAGAAGGAAAAUAAAUGUGUACAAGAACCCUGUUCUAAAAUAAAACCACCCAUAGCAGUAACCUUGAAAGAUGACUUCAAGAGCCUCUCCCUCCCACCUUGACGUUUUAAUGGGGUCGGCAGUUUGAGCUUCUUUGUAAUGGAAACCAGAAGAACUCUUAAAGGAAAAGGCCACAAGAGCAGGCCCAGCAGCUUUUGUGUCUAACUGUAUCAGCUCCGUCUCAGCAAAUGGCAAAGUUGCCCGACAGGCAAUUACUGCUGUUCCUAAUUGCUUCUAUCAAACCCGGCUGUUGGAAAUACCUAGUGCCCCCAUACCCAGGCAUGCUUCAGCCAACCCGAUUUUCUUGGCUUUGGUUAAUGCUCUAUUUUUGGCACACUGGAUGCUGUCUGGCAAUUGAGUCCAUUCAGACGUGUUAAACUUUCCAAAGACCCUCUUUGAUCAAUGCCAGAAGAUGAUCUAAUUAGGUUCUGUCUUAAGGAGAAAAAUGGCAAAGCACAAUGUCUCCUGUGUUCUUUGUCAGGGCCCCGAGAGAGAGGAUGAAAGCUCCUUCAGAGCUCUGCCCAUAGCUGUCCACAGAGAAAUGGGUAUUUGUACAGGAAACUAUGGAUGCCCCAGGGAAAGGAUGAAUUUUGAUUUUAAAGUAAGUACACUCUGGCAUAUUGCUCAAUGUAGGAAGCAAAAAUUUUAGCAAUAUUUUAUUAGUUCUCUGAAAGCGCUAUACAAUGUAUUUUGAGCACACACGCGCACACACACACGAAAAAUCUCCCCUUAUCUCCCUCUUCAUCCUCUUAUCUUUUCCAAUCCAACUUUGAGAGAUCUCCAUCUUUUCCCCUUUCCCCAUGAAGUCCAGUUGGUGUUACUCAGCUAGUCUUGAGAGUGAGGCCUGUCCUGGCAUAUGGUCAACUAUCAGUGGUGACAUCGUUGAGGCAAAUUGACUCCAUUUCCCCAGCAGCUUUCCGAUGCCAAGAGCUCCUCAGCUGUGGAAGAGUUCAUAGCCAUCUUUACCACUCUAUGUGGGGAAUUUUGGCCAGAGCUCGCACAAACCUUGUGCAUGCUUUCACAAUCACUGUGAACUCAAAUGUACAACUGCCCUGUUCUGUUUGGAGAACACUUUUUCCCUGAUGGGAAACAACCUCACAAUCUUCCUGCUUCAAGUUUUGUUUUUUCUUUUUUAAUUUAAAAUCUUUCCAAUGUGAUUAAAUUACAGCUCCUGUUAUUUCCCUCCACCAUGUUUUAAAGUGUUCACUGGUGCGAGUACCUCGAUCAGGUUGAACAUGAGCUAGGCUUUCUAGUGCAUCUCUUCAACUCAUUCUCCAAGAACCGGCAGCAAUUCACUUUCAAAACUGUACCUCCACUAAAGGGUUACUUUACAGUGGGAUCUCAGGUACUACAGAAAGAAAAAUCUAGACGGAGCUGGUGUUUUCUAUGACCAGAUAUUGUAGAAUUAGUGCAAACCAGUCGCUAUAAAGAUGAAUAGAAACAUGACAAACUGUGGAGAGGAAGUAGGAUAUGAUAUCAGAGUUAUUACAGUACUGAACAUGUCAUUUUCAAUAAAAACGAUCAUGUAUGCAAAGGAACGGGAAAGUAAGGCGGACGCACAGAAUGAAUAUAAACUCUCCCCGAGGAGUCUGACACUGUGGUAACUAAAGACUGUAAAGCCACUGUCCUAUAAACAGAAUCCCAUGAUAAAAACCAUGCAAAAAGUGAAGAAAAUAUGAAAAACGAUGCCUUUCGAGUGGAGAAUAGCUACAAAGGAAUAUUUGUAAACAUUCUGGAAACUCUGGAGUUAAAGCGUAAAACCACUAAAGUGAAUUCAACUGGUACUACUUGCACAAAUAUGUCGCGCCCAACCUCGACCAGCAAGGAAGACACGACCAGCGAAGAUCUUCUUCAGGCAGUUUUACUCAGGAACCUUGAUACAAUCUUCUAAUCCCGGGGAAUCCCCGCACCACACUUAAAUAGCUAGCGCUGGCCAAUCCUAGCAAGCCACGUGGGGAUAGCGGAUAGGUUGUAUCUAUGCGGAAGCGACCAGGCCAAGCAGGAACAGCCAAAUAAGGACUUGUUUUUAGCGGAAGGCAGAAACAGGACUUGUUUUUCACAAGGAGCGGUAGGCGGAAACCGGCGCCAUCUCUGGGGCGCAGGACCUCGCAGCUCCCUACACAAAUGUGAGCGCCCAGCUUCUUGCUCCCGCCAUCAUGCCUGCCACUUACAGCCUUCCCUUCGUGCCACGAUGUACUCAUUCUUCCGGAACUGAUGUGGAAAGCUUUGGAACUUGGAACCAGAUAAUAGUUGAAUGCUGGAUGUAAGCAGAGCUUUCACGGCCAUCCUAAUAGGAGCCUAUAAGAUAACCACGCUGAGAGCAACGUUGACUAUGGAGGCCCAGCUCAAGGCAUUUCAGACGGGAACAAUACUGACAACAGGACUAGAGGCUGUUCCUGUGAGAGUCUGGCAAACAAAGAUCUGGCUGCCUUCAACCUUGGUUCUCAGUACUUGCCUGAGUCAAGCCUUUAAAUUGAUGGACUACUUUCUUUGGCAGAAGACAGGGUAACCUUGAAUCUGUGGUGCUGCUUUUGGUAAUGCUUAUGCUGAUUUGCAAUAAAAAAAAAAGGGCAAGUGGAUCAGAAAGAAAUAAAGCUGUUUGGAGAGAAAAAGAGCAUUAAAAGGCUUAGAGUUAUAGAGGAGGCUUGCGCUGGAAGAGAGGUUAAGGAAAUUAGCACCCUCUAGGAGAGACUGAUCUUCAUUGGAACAAAGGAUAGGUGCCCUCAGGGCAAGACUCCACCCAGCUGAGCUUCCAACUUAGGAAAAGGAAAAGGCCUAAGGAAUGUUCUAAACCUAGAAAAUCACAGCAAACAAAAUCUGCUGCUAUUGCAGUUAUGGGAUUCAGGGUCCACCCCAACUUGGCAGCUGUACGUGGUAGUGUCGUCCAUGUGGUAUUGGCUUUAGAGGCUGAAAAAUGUAAGAGCGAAGGGGUCAUGGAUUCUCUGUUUUCAGGGAGCUACUGAAGCCAGGCAACAUGUGGCUGGGGAGUCCCUUGCAUGACAGGCCUGAAAAAUUAGAGGCUGUGAGAGACCUGAAGAGCAUGAAGCUGUGUAACACUAAGAUGUUGGGGAUGCUGGAGCCUUGGGAUAUCUGGCAAGGAGAGCUGCAUACAAGGGUGGAACUAACUCAAGACAAAAGAGAGGCACACACUACAGGCAGCAAAGAUGGCGGAACAAAGAUCAGGGGAUUCUUCGACACCAUUCAGGGAACUACAGUGUUUGCUAGGCUGAGGUUCAGAAUUCCGCACCAUAUCCCCUUUCCCCCCAUUUGAAAUAGUGAUGUAUAUUCUGUUCUGCUGCGUGUUGAAAGCAUGAAAUUUUAUUUUUAUUUUUACAGAAGCUUACAAUUAAGAAAUUGUCUUCAGUCUGAGAAGAGUUUUUAGACUUUGGGAUUUUAAACAACGUUGAAAUUGUGAAAGACCAUGGCAACAUUUGGAGUUGGACUGAAGCUAAGCGUAUCUUGCAUUGUGAUGUGGCCAUGAGCCUUUAGGAGCCAAGGAAUGGAAUGUGGGGGGUAUAAAUGAGAAUGUCCCCCACAGGCUUGGAUGUUUGAAUACCUGGUCCCCAGUUGGUGGUGCUGUUUGUUGGGGAGGGGGCUCACGAGAACCAGCCUUUCUAGGGGAUGUUUGUUACUGGAGGCUGGCUUUGACGGUUAAUAUUAUAUACCAUUACUACUUUCCUCUCCCUGAGAUAGAAAAGUAUGUUUCCAGUUCUAGUUGUGAGCUCUCUCUCUCAGCUUCCUGCUCCAGCUGCCAUGUCUGUUACUCAUUGCUAUGCCUUUCUACCACGAUGGACUAUUAGCCCUCUGUAAGCCCAAAUAAACAGUUCCUUCUAUAA